rnacentral:snRNA from 1 species
AUCGCUUUCGGCCUUUUGGCUCAGAUCAAGUGUAGUAUCUGUUCUUAUCAGUUUAAUAUCUGAUACGUCCCCCAUCGGGGGACUACAAUUAAAUGGAUUUUUCGAACAGGGAGUCGGAAAUGGGGCUUGCUCCGUCCGCUCCACGCAUCGACCCGGUAUUGCAGUACCUCCGGGAACGGUGCAACACUU